rnacentral:rRNA from 1 species
UACGGGGGGAGCAAGCGUUGUUCGGAUUUACUGGGCGUAGAGGGCGCGUAGGCGGCCAGCGCAAGUCAGUUGUGAAAUCUCCGGGCUUAACUCGGAACGGUCAACUGAUACUGCGCGGCUAGAGUGCAGAAGGGGCAACUGGAAUUCUCGGUGUAGCGGUGAAAUGCGUAGAUAUCGAGAGGAACACCUGCGGCGAAGGCGGGUUGCUGGGCUGACACUGACGCUGAUGCGCGAAAGCUAGGGGAGCAAACGGG